UGCGCGUGAGACACCCACGCAUAGAACCGGAUCCUGAGAGAGAUCUGAAGGGAAAAUUGAAAAAAAAAAGAGAGAGAGAAAAGCGCACUAUUUGUCCCCAAAUGUAGCAGCGGCCGGAAAACCAAAUCCCAGCAAACGAAGACGGCGGAACAAAUCAAAACAACCCAUCGCCUCCUCGUGGCAACGGAGGGGAAAAGCCCUUCAAACACGAGUGCCCACACAUCAUCCCCAACCCCACCCCGUGAAGGCAAGUCGCGAGAUCCGACGAGAAGCCUCUCCAAUCCAGCCACAUUGCGGCAGAUCGGAGAUGGCGCCGCAGCUGGCCGGCGCGCCCGGGUCGGCGGGGGCG
rnacentral:lncRNA from 1 species